rnacentral:rRNA from 1 species
UACGUAGGCGGAAAAUUAAGUCAGUAGUGAAAUCCUGCAGCUUAACUGUAGAACUGUUAUUGAUACUGGUUUUCUUGAAUAUAGUUGAGGUAGGCGGAAUGUGUAAUGUAGCGGUGGAAUGCUUAGAUAUUACACAGAACACCGAUUGCGAAGGCAGCUUACUAAGCUAUGAUUGACGCUGAGGUACGAAAGCGUGGGGAGCGAACAGGAUUAGAUACCCUGGUAGUCC